rnacentral:rRNA from 1 species
AGAGUUUGAUCAUGGCUCAGGAUGAACGCUAGCUACAGGCUUAACACAUGCAAGUCGAGGGGAAACGACAUCGAAAGCUUGCUUUUGAUGGGCGUCGACCGGCGCACGGGUGAGUAGCGCGUAUCCAACCUGCCCAUCACUUGGGGAUAACCUUGCGAAAGUAAGACUAAUACCCAAUGACGUCUCUAGAAGACAUCUGAAAGAGAUUAAAGAUUUAUCGGUGAUGGAUGGGGAUGCGUCUGAUUAGCUUGUUGGCGGGGUAACGGCCCACCAAGGCGACGAUCAGUAGGGGUUCUGAGAGGAACGGUCCCCANAUUGGAACUGAGACACGGUCCAAACUCCUACGGGAGCA